UACGUAGGGUGCGAGCGUUGUCCGGAAUUAUUGGGCGUAAAGGGCUCGUAGGCGGUUUGUCGCGUCGGGAGUGAAAACUCAGGGCUUAACCCUGAGCCUGCUUCCGAUACGGGCAGACUAGAGGUAUGCAGGGGAGAACGGAAUUCCUGGUGUAGCGGUGGAAUGCGCAGAUAUCAGGAGGAACACCGGUGGCGAAGGCGGUUCUCUGGGCAUUACCUGACGCUGAGGAGCGAAAGUGUGGGGAGCGAACAGG
rnacentral:rRNA from 1 species